CAAAAACCUCUCUGCCUUCUCCUUCCUCAAAAUAUAGCUCUCUGCCUUCUCCUUCCUCAAUCAAAACCCACAACAAUCGCAACCCACAAACCACCAUAAUCAGACCAUAUCAAACCCACAACCCAAAAGCAAAAAACCAUUUUGAAGAUCUGCGAUUGCGAAAUAUGGGGGAGUCCGAUUCUAGAUGAACGCUGCGAAAGAGAGACAGGAGAAGAGUAACAUUGAGAUGGUAAAUUCUAGAUGAACGCUGUUCUCUUCUCCUUUAAAUUAAUAAAAAUUUUACUGACUCCAAUUGUUCUCGCUAAUUUCCUUCAGCUUGGGCAUGUAUACUAAUCUGAAAUAACAACUCAUAUGGUGUUCAAUGCACAGGGGAAAAUUUCAUAACAGAUGGGGUUUGAUGGAACUAAUGUAACAGAGGGUUCUGAGAGGCUAGCAGAAGCUAUAGGUGAUGACUCUGAAGCUGUAAUAUGUGCUACUGGGUUUAAGCCUGGAUGGUCAGUAAAUUUUGUGCCUGUUUCAUAUUUGUAUUUGUACAUUGUUCAUAUUCAUGCCCUAUCUGUAGUCAUUUUUAUGCUGUUGUCUUUGUUAAUUGUCAUUCACAAUGCCUUAAGAAAAUAAGGAGAUUUAUACUUUAAGUCCUGUGACACUGUAAUGUAGUUGUCACUAAACAUUGGCUAAUGGGGUUUCAGCUGUUACUUUGAUAUAUAUAUAUAUGUGUGUGUGUGUGUGUGUGUGUGUGUGUGUGGAAUUCUCCAGCAUUGUUGUUUGCCGACGUAUUUUUGUAUCCAUCAACAUACUUUGAUGUCAUCCACAAGCAUGUUGAUGAAGGCAAUCUUAUCUCAGUGUCAAACUAAUUGCCUCAAUGCAUAGGUAACUUAGAGGUUGAUGUUUUUAUUUUGAGUAGGAGAGUAUCAUAUUUGUUCAAUCAGAGAAGGGUUGUAAAUACCCUUUUAUUUUAUUUUAUUAUUUUAAGGAUGAUCUU